AGUUAAAGUAGGCCUAUGGAUUUAAUUUGCUGACGGUAAUGAUAUUAGCGUUAUACUGUAAGUUAGCAGCACACCUAAACAACCCCGGACCCAGGGAGAGUCAUCUCAGUGAGAAGGAGGAAGACAGCUCUCUUUGCUGUGUUGCCAACAGCAGCACCUGACGAAUCUGCAAUUGACAUGAUGCGACUGUCCACUACAUUGUGUGACGUUUCCAAGAGGCAGCAACUGGCAACUGUAAAGGAAUUCCAGGUUUGCCGAUGGAGACAGAUGGCGUGGGGCCCCAUGGCCUCGGCCCCUGCAGAUUGAUUAUUGAUCGGGAAGACAGAGAUGGAUCGAGGGGUGGAGAGGACACCGAGGAGCGGGGAGACAGCUGUGGACGGGAGGCGAAGGAGUGGGAGGAUUUCAAGGAAUUUAUGUUUUAAGAGUGGGGCUAAAGGAUGGCAGGAUGGGGAGAGGAGGGGGAGGAGGCUGAGGAUGCAGGUACAGCAAAGGUUUUCUUUUGCUCAGCCAUCACCUUGAGAGGGAGCUAUUGACUAAGCUCCAGAUUUAUAGCCAAAAUCCAAAGUGUUUUGGAUUCUGUUUAGGAUUUCAAAGUUAUUGCUCAUUUAUUGUCAAUGAAUGUCCCACGCUCACUUUAAAAAGAUAUUAAUCAUUGCUAUGGUUGCACAUGCUGCACAUCUAAAAAAGCAAAUGUUUUAUGAAUGAAGAAAAAUAACUUUAUGUUGAGACUUGGGGGGUAUGCAGGCUGAAUUUAAGGGGUCACAUGAUUAAUUUUGCAGAAGAAUCAUCUAAACUUUCUGUUGGAUAAAUGAAAACUAUACAGCAGCAAAGUCACACUCAAAAUGUCUUUUUCCCAUUGUCGGCUUAUCACCCGUGAGUGUAGGCUAGUUGUGUGUGAGUGGUCGCCCCUGUGUUUGUGAGUGUGCUGAUGUGUUGGGAAGGUGAAGCUGUCUCUCCCCCUGCCAGACAGAUGGCUAUCAGCAAGGCUCCAGAGAGUGAGUGCUGCUUUACAGCGGAGCCAAGAUGUUAAGCUGCAAUCUUCACUGUCUCUCUCUUAUUUUUCCCUCAGUCGCUGUACCUUUCAUCUUCUGUGUGUGUGUGCGUGUGUGUGUGUGUGUGUGCUCAUUUACUCCCUUUGCACUCCUUUAGUACUGUAUGUGUGAAUAUCAGUGUGCGUGAUAAAGGAACAGAAGGAGCCUGUUGGCUAGUACGCAUGAGUGUGCUGGAGGCAGAUACUGGAGGAAAUAAACGACAUGCAGGCAGCUGCCCAGCUCAAAGUUUACACUGGGUGCCAUCAUGGAUGGCAAUUCCUGACUGUGUGUCCUCCAAAAGUCAUUACUUAACUUAAAACGAUUCUAUUCAUCUUUCAACAUUUACUAAAGUGCACACCAACACCCAAGAAAUACAUAAUUUUGUAUCUACAAACCCUGAUUUUAACUGUGUUAUUCUCCCUCUUGAUUUUCAAGAUGGUCUCAACACAUCCAUAUGUACUCCAGCCCCUAGGCAGAGUGGGAGUAGUUUCCCAGGAGGAAGCAUAUUUGUGGGCUUCAGGGAGUGGGAGGACUGGAUGGAUGCUGGAUGGAGUUCUGGGUGGCUCAAUUUGCCCCUGUAGGCUUUAUUUAGCCACUAACAGCCUGAAGGAAAUUUGCUAAAUUAGGAAUUGUCUGUGUACAUGUCUAUUUUUGUGUAUGUUUGAUUACAACACAUACGGCAUCGGCAGUAAGCAUUUUGUAGAUAGUGCAAAGUUGAGUGUGAAUCCAAACGAGCACAAGUUUUUGCAAUAUGAUGCCAUAAUGCAGUCACAUUUCCUUAAAGCUGCGAUAUUCAAUAUUUUUGUAUUGACAGUGGAUCAAAUGACUGUGUAAUUUGAA